rnacentral:rRNA from 1 species
GAUGAACGCUGACAGAAUGCUUAACACAUGCAAGUCAACUGUGGCGGACGGGUGAGUAACGCGUAAAGAACUUGCCUCACGGAUAGGGACAACAUUUGGAAACGAAUGCUAAUACCUGAUACUGUGAGAGAGCUUUGCGUACCAUUAGCUAGUUGGAGAGGUAACGGCUCACCAAGGCGAUGAUGGGUAGCCGGCCUGAGUGGGUGAUCGGCCACAAGGGGACUGGGACACGGCCCUUACUCGAACGGGAGGGAGCGGUGGGGAAUAUUUGACGAUGGACCAAAAUCUGAUCCAGCAAUUCUGUUUGCACGAUGAAGUUUUCGGAAUGUAAAGUGCUUUCAGUUGGGAAGCGGUACCAACAGAAGAAGUGACGGCUAAAUCCGUGCCAGCAGCCGCGGUAAUAC